rnacentral:lncRNA from 10 species
UUAUUUUAAACUAUUAAUGGCCAUUAAUAAUUGAGUAAGGUAUACUACUGUAAACAAAAUUUGGAGCAUGUUCAUUUAUCUCCACCUGGUUCCUCUAAAAUUUGGAGACUACCUGUAAGUACUCUUAACUUAUGGCAGUAUAGUUGUUUGCAUCAGUGCAAUAAGAAUGCAUUUUUCUUUGUCAACAGGACACAAUUGGAUAAACUGGUUAUUUUACCAAGGCUUUGGCUGAAAUGGUGUGUUUCCCUUUAAGGAAUCAAGCUUGACAUGCAGAGCCAAUAAAAGCCCCUUGGAGAACUGGCCUCAUACCUUGUCUAUACAGUCCCCGCACAGGGUUCCUAACCUGUAGUCAAUAAAGAAUGUCACUUUCUAACAGGUCUGGAAGCUCGGAGUUUCUCUUGGGACCUCAAGAAGUGAGGAUCACCCAACUCACAGAAGCAAUCAAACUCCAAAUGGUGCUGCAAACUGAACCCCACAUGGACACGCCAUUCUUCUGAGGACCCUUAGAUCCACCCCAGGAGGAGCCCUAGCUGCUGUUCCCCAUUCGAUGCCCCU